rnacentral:tRNA from 1 species
GGUGGCUCAGUGGUAGAGUGCUUGCCUUGCAUGCAUGAGGUCCUUGGUUCAAUUCCUCAGCACCA